ACAGAGGGGGCAAGCGUUGUUCGGAAUUACUGGGCGUAAAGGGCGCGUAGGCGGCCGGCUAAGUCGAACGUGAAAUCCCCGGGCUCAACCCGGGAACUGCGUCCGAUACUGGUCGGCUUGAAUUCGGGAGAGGGAUGCGGAAUUCCAGGUGUAGAGGUGAAAUGCGUAGAGAUCGGGAGGAACACCCGUGGCAAAGGCGGCCAACUGGGCCGACCCUGACGCUGAGGCGCGAAGGCGUGGGGAGCGAACGGGA
rnacentral:rRNA from 1 species